CAUAUCUAAAAUGAAAGAAAUGUUUUUAAAAUAAAAUAUUUUACCUUUUCCUCUUGACGCACCGAUGACAUGCAUGCAAGAAUGCCCCCUGCAUGUUCGUGUCUGAUUCUGACGCGCUAGGGAUUUUGGGCCUUUGAGGUAUCCGUGCUUCUUAGCUGGCACACUUUUGACAAUCUUUUCUGUAAUGUUGUGGAUGCUGGUUUUUUGGUUAUGGAGUGAUGUCAAAGUUUAUAUAUGAAUGGCUUUUUACCGUCGUCCUUUAUCAUGAGUUGAAAAUCUGUGGGUAAUUUUGGCCUGUGAUCAUUGCCUUUGGGUUUAAUGGUUUUGUUCAUUGUGCUCGCUAAUAAGAAAUUAAGAUAUGGAGUUCUACCAAGCCCCCAUUUACUACCAAGUUAAGAAGUGAUCCCUCGCUAAUGGUAGUUUCUCUUCCUCUCUUGAAAAUUUUUACUAUCUGGUUGUUUUGAAUCUUUUGAUUGUUGGGAAGCUUUUAGACAUCAAUCACUUUACCAUAUUUGUCUUAUCAUUUCUUUUGUUGGAAAAGAAAUUUCUAUAACAAAAGAAAUUUCUUAUUUCUAUAGGGGUGCAGUUUCUGCCCUAGAAUCUUGGGCUAGUUUGAAAUAGAGUCAUGUGUGGAGCAGGGUUGCUGCUUAAGAUCUUUAAAUCUUACUGUCACCUUUGUUGUAAAAAAAGGUAAAAAUUUUUGCAUGAUAUGUGCAUGCACAGGUUACAAAUCCAAUUUAGGUGGUGUUGCAAUUAUCACUAGAUUUUAGAAUUUGAGUAGGUCGAAGUUAUCAUUGUUGAUAACUACUUGUUAUUAAAAUUUUUGGCAUCCGGUUUUGCUUUGAUCUUGAAUUUUUUUGGGUGUCCCCCCAUGCCACCCCAUAUAAUUGGUAAUACAGUUGUAAGUUUUAUUUUGGUUUAAGCUUGCCUAGUUUGUAUGGAAGUUAUUCAAUGUGAAAUUUUUAGUUUUAAAGAACUUGUAGAAACAUACAUUCUCUCUCUCUGUGGUAAAUAAAGGAGGAACAUCAAAACACCAUAAGGAAUGUUUUUUUUUUUUUUUGGUCUCAACAUUCUGAAGUGUAAAUUGGGUAUUGUGUAUCUCAGAGAAAAUUUAGAUACCAUACAUAGUUGUAGGUGGGGUGGUCGAAAAAAAUUCAUCCUUGCAGUGUCAAAUGGUUUUUAAUUUAAAACUUGUUUGGACCAUGAACGGUUGUGCACUGCAUUUUGUGAAGCAGGGAGAAUUUUAAUGAGCAAUAGAAUGUAUUUCAAGCAUAUGUUUCCAUUGCAUAUGAUUGUAUUGGUUCAUUUGCACUCUUGAUUGAUAUGUAUCUCCUAUCUAAUUUGUAGAUCAUUCAUGAUGGGCAUUGUCUGAUUAGUUGCUAAAAGAGGAAACUUGAUUCCACCUCCUUUUUUUGCUUUAUAUUAUUCAUUUGUCUAUUUGCAUAUUUAAGAAUCGAGAUUCAUGUUGUGAGACCUUAAAUUUUUGUGUUUUAUUAUAUGAACAAAACUUUUGCUGAGAUUUUAUUGUUAUGUGCACAUGAGACCUUCUGUUUCUUGUUUAUGUAUUAGAAGAUACUUGUUUUAUGCUGACCUUGAGACUUGCAAUAUAAUUGUACCCUUUGGAAGGUUCAUCAUAAUAGUUUUGUUGAACAAGUUCAAGGAAUUUCUGCCAUAGCUUUGCCAGAAUUUUGGAUUUUGGAUUGUGGUUCCACCUUGAGAUCGACUGGCCUGUUCAGGUCCCACCUCCCAGUCCCAUCAAUCCCUUACAAUGGCCAGGGUUCUUAAAAGACCCACAUGCUAGCUUGGAAGCUUAUUGUCAACAAAUUUUGGGCAAAUUACAUUUUAAACUCUAUACUUUAGUGAUGGUUUAAAAUUAAACCCUAUUGUUUCUAAAGUUUCAAAUUAAUCCCUGAAGUUUAAGAUUGUUACAAACUAAACCUUAUAGUUUUGUUAGUUCAAAUUGAACCUGGGACUUUUAAAAUCGUAUCCAUUUAAAGUUUUAAACCCUCAAUCGAACCAAAAAAUCAAACCCGAAAAGUCCAAGGCUUAAAUUGAUACACUUUUGAAAGUCCAUGGUAUCUGAAAUUAUUGAAAUUAUAGGGCUUUGAUUUGAAACCACCCUUAAAAUAUAGGGUGUAAAAUGUAAUUUACCCCAAUUUUUUGGAGAUCCCUUAUCUGAAAUUGUUUAUUCCUGGAAUAAUGUUCAGUUUUGUACAUCUUGUGCAUUACUUGUUUGUGGUAUCUCUGAUUUGAAGGUCAUUGUAUCUCACAAAAGAUGCUGCAAGCACCAUAAAAUAAAAAGUACAGUUCAUUUCGAAAGCCAAAGGAUAUACUUUUUGACAUUAGAGUAGGUUCAGAGUUCUCUCAACAGAAGGUACAUAUAUUCUUUUGACAAGUAUACAAAAAUUAUCUAAAUUAUAUAUGACAUGCUCCUUUAAGGCUUGAAUUUUAUGUCAUUGCAGUCUCUUUGAUACAAUUCCAUGUAAUCUUGUGUAAUUGUGUUCCUGUCUUGUCAAUUUAUAUAAUAUGCUUUGUCAAUUUAUUUUUUGUCUCGUACCUAAUCAUGAUUUGAUAAGGUUUCUUGAAUUUGUGUUCUUCCAUUUCCCCCCGUGUGUUAGAAUAAGGAUUUUGUGACUUUAUGUACUGGCAAAUUAUGAAAAUAUAUGGCAACUGGAACAUAGUGAUGAUUGAGGUCGAACAUAUAUAGAGAAAAUGGAUUACUAAAUUAUCAAGUCUUCAUACAAAGUUUUGGAAUUUAUAAAUAUUUCAACAUGUUUGAUGCCCUAUGAAAUGCAGCUGCUGUUUUAUGCCGAAAAACAUUUGUCUGUUGCUUUUUUUAAAACUAUUCAUUAUUCAAUUGACUGUAAGACUUUUUGGUGUUUAUGUGUAUUGAUAUGUGAUACCAAGUCCAAGGGCAACAUUAUUUAAUGUGUAUGUUCUGCCAGUAAGUUUCUAGUCGAUGAUGGAAGGCAAGUCCUUUAUGUCUUUCUGCACAGAAUGUAUGUAAUGCACUUGAACUGUGUCCUAUGCCUAUAACUUGUGAAUUUGCUAUAUUUGGUAACCAAAUUUGUGUUUAAACUUUAAAUAUUUUAGCUCUGGAGUUUUUUUUUUUUGGAUGAAUUAUUAGCUCUGGAGUUGAUGUAAUUCAACUGUGGAACUAGAAAUAAUCUGAUAGAGCCAAAGCCUUGUUUGGCAACAUAGCAGUCAUUGGUUAAGAAAUGUUCUAUAUGCAUGGGAUGGUGAGAAACCCAAAAAAAUAUUAACUCCAUAUUAGCAGGUGUAGGUGGCACUUCAUCUUAAAUGAUGGGUUUGCUUCCUGUAUUGAGUUCUAUCUUAUCAUCGCCGGCUCCUCAAAAAGUCUUGGUUUUGGUUUCACAGACACUUUGAAAGUGUAUGCACUUGUGUUGGGCACCACAUGACAUGGAUAUGUGCAACAUGCCUGCAAUAGGUGCGUCUGAAAGGAUGAGUCAUACAUCUAGUUUGGCAGAAGUGCAGAGUUUUUUUGGGGAUUGUCUGUGGGGGUGGAGGGGAGCAGUUCACCAAGGAGAAGCAGCUUAAUAUCUUACAUGAAUUUUCCAAAUGUGUGAGAUACCUUUCUGGAUGUGGCUAGCAAGCCCUUUAUGUAGAAAUAAGGCAUGUCUGACCCAGUUUUAAAAUUUGGGGUUAGAUCUGUCUAGAAAAACUUGUGCCUGUCCCAUGUUCUGAAGUCUAUGUUGUAUUGGAUGGAGCUAAUUGUGCUACAGGUUUUGGAGGUCGUUUUCCGCUGCCAAGGCUAUUCAUGAUGCGAAGAUAGGAUGUAACUAUACACAGUUGUUAAAAUUAUAGUUACAUCUUUAGAAUUUUAUCAAAGAUGAUUUUAAUUUAUUAAUGAGAUACUCCUUGAAAGCCAAUAUUAAUUUAAUUGGCUCUUGGUUUUGGUUAGAAUUACUCUGGAAGUAUAAUUGAAUAAUCGUAUAUUUAAGAAAUGAAGUUAAGCAAUUUGAUCUUUAGAUUAGUGGCAAGGCUGGAUGUAGAAUUUCCAUCAACUAUAAUCAAAGGCUCAAAGCUUAAAAGCAAUCGAGUUCAUUCUUAUCUGUCUAAGGACUAUCUUAGUUUUCAUUCAAAGGCUGAUCAGCUGCUUGAGAAAGCCUGAUUCCUGAUUCUUAUCUGUUUAAUGUUUGUUCAAUGUUAGAGAAGCGACUGACAAA